rnacentral:sRNA from 1 species
ACAUAUAUUACUAUUUAGAAUUCAAAUUUAAUCGGGAGAUUUGCAAAACUACCUUUUUUUUACUACCCUCUUGCAACAAUACCCUUUUGUGUUGUCCAUUUUUAAAAAUAGCCUUUUCGUUGAACAGAAUGACAACAGAAAUUUUUCUGUCAAAUUUUUGGCGCCAAAAAAAAAAUUUCCACAAAACUUUUCUCCCACCAAAAAAA